rnacentral:rRNA from 1 species
UACGUAGGGACCAAGCGUUGUUCGGAUUUACUGGGCGUAAAGGGCGCGUAGGCGGCUUAACAAGUCACUUGUGAAAUCCCCGGGCUCAACCUGGGAACUGCAUUUAUGACUGCACAGCUGGAGUGCGGCAGAGGGGGAUGGAAUUCCGCGUGUAGCAGUGAAAUGCGUAGAUAUGCGGAGGAACACCGAUGGCGAAGGCAAUCCCCUGGGCCUGCACUGACGCUCAUGCACGAAAGCGUGGGGAGCAAGCAGG